GGCGGGGAACCUGACUCCUGUCAUGCCGCGUGUGUGAAGAAGGCCUUAUGCGUUGUAAGAGCACUUUACAGCGACGAGGAUGCUAUGAAGUCAAUACCUAUAGAUAACUGGACGUUACUCGACACAAUAAGCGCCGGCUAACUCUGUGCCAGCAGCCGCGGUAAUACAGAGGGUGCGAGCGUUAAUCGGAUUUACUGGGCGUAAAGCGUGCGUAGGCGGCUUAUUAAGUCGGAUGUGAAAUCCCCGAGCUUAACUUGGGAAUUGCAUUCGAUACUGGUGAGCUAGAGUGUGGGAGAGGAUGGUAGAAUUCCAGGUGUAGCGGUGAAAUGCGUAGAGAUCUGGAGGAAUACCGAUGGCGAAGGCAGCCAUCUGGCCUAAUACUGACGCUGAGGUACGAAAGCAUGGGGAGCAAACAGGAUUAGAUACCCUGGUAGUCCAUGCCGUAAACGAUGUCUACUAGCCGUUGGGGCCUUUGAGGCUUUAGUGGCGCAGCUAACGCGAUAAGUAGACCGCCUGGGGAGUACGGUCGCAAGACUAAAACUCAAAUGAAUUGACGGGGGGCCGCACAAGCGGUGGAGCAUGUGGUUUAAUUCGAUGCAACGCGAAGAACUUAACUGGCCUUGACUACUAGAAAUU
rnacentral:rRNA from 1 species